rnacentral:rRNA from 1 species
UACGUAGGUAGCAAGCGUUAUUCGGAUUUACUGGGCGUAAAGGGUCCGCAGGGGGUCUGCCAAGUCCGGCGUGAAAGCCCACGGCUCAACUGUGGAACGGCGCUGGAAACUGGCGGGCUGGAGUGCAUGAGGGGUGAGCAGAAUUCCUGGUGUAGCGGUGGAAUGCGCAGAUAUCAGGAGGAAUACCGAUGGCGAAGGCGGCUCACUGGCGUGCAACUGACCCUCAGGGACGAAAGCGUGGGGAGCAAACAGGAUUAGAUACCCUGGUAGUCCACGCUGUAAACGGUGCGCAUUCGAUGCGGGUGGAGCUUUGAUCCCAUCCGUGUCUGAGCUAACGCGUUAAAUGCGCCGCCUGGGGACUACGGCCGCAAGGCUAAA